rnacentral:tRNA from 1 species
UGUCUAGUAUUCUAUAAAAGUGAUUUUAAAUUGCAAAUUUAAAGGAGAAUCUAAUUCUUAGACUU